UGGGGAAUCUUGGACAAUGGGGGAAACCCUGAUCCAGCGACGCCGCGUGACUGAUGAAGGCCUUCGGGUCGUAAAAGUCUUUCGACGGGGACAAUUAUGAUGGUACCCGUAGAAGAAGGAGCGGCUAACUACGUGCCAGCAGCCGCGGUAAUACGUAGGCUCCAAGCGUUGUUCGGAAUUACUGGGCGUAAAGCGAGUGUAGGCUGUGCGUCAAGUCGAUUGUGAAAUCUCCCGGCUCAACUGGGAGGGUGCGGUCGAAACUGACGGACUAGAGUUCGGGAGAGGAGAGUGGAAUUCCUGGUGUAGCGGUGAAAUGCGUAGAUAUCAGGAGGAACACCGGUGGUGAAGACGGCUCUCUGGACCGAUACUGACGCUGAGACUCGAAAGCGUGGGGAGCAAACAGGAUUAGAUACCCCCGUAGUCC
rnacentral:rRNA from 1 species